AUUGAACGCUGGCGGAAUGCUUUACACAUGCAAGUCGAACGGCAGCACGGACUUCGGUCUGGUGGCGAGUGGCGAACGGGUGAGUAAUGUAUCGGAACGUGCCCAGUCGUGGGGGAUAACGUAGUGAAAAUUACGCUAAUACCGCAUACGAUCUAUGGAUGAAAGCGGGGGAUCGCAAGACCUCGCUCGAUUGGAGCGGCCGAUAUCAGAUUAGGUAGGUGGUGGGGUAAAGGCCCACCAAGCAAACGAUCUGUAGCUGGUCUGAGAGGACGACCAGCCACACUGGAACUGAGACACGGUCCAGACGCCUACGGGAGGCAGCAGUGGGGAAUUUUGGACAAUGGGCGAAAGCCUGAUCCAGCCAUUCCGCGUGCAGGAUGAAGGCCCUCGGGUUGUAAACUGCUUUUGUACAGAACGAAAAGGUUUCUACUAAUACUAGGAGCUCAUGACGGUACUGUAAGAAUAAGCACCGGCUAACUACGUGCCAGCCGCCGCCGUAA
rnacentral:rRNA from 1 species